AGCGAACGUUAGCGGCGCGCCUAACACAUGCAAGUCGCACGAGAAAGGGAGCAAUCCCCGGUACAGUGGCGCACGGGUGAGUAACACGUAGAUGACCUUCCCUGGAGUGGUGGAUAACCUGCCGAAAGGCGGGCUAAUACAGCAUGGGACCACAUGGUUUUGACCGAGUGGUGAAAGCGGGCCUCUGUUCACAAGCUCGCGCUCUGGGAUGGGUCUGCGUCCCAUCAGCUAGUUGGUGAGGUAAUGGCUCACCAAGGCAUCGACGGGUAGCUGGUCUGAGAGGAUGACCAGCCACACUGGAACUGAGACACGGUCCAGACACCUACGGGAGGCAGCAGUGGGGAAUCUUGCGCAAUGGGCGAAAGCCUGACGCAGCGACGCCGCGUGGGUGAUGAAGGCCUCGGUUGUAAG
rnacentral:rRNA from 1 species